CGCCGCCACGCUCCCGAGAGCCGCCGCAUCCGCCGCGGCACCGAGUUUUCAGCCGGGCAGAGCCAGACGUCAGCAGGAGGAGGGCGGAGAAGGGUCCCUGGCAUCAUCUCACCUCAGCGGAUUGAGAGCGAGAGCAAGGUGCAGCACCUCCGCAGCCCGGUGAGGUCCGCACGGACCUGGCUCAAGGCGGCUGUAGCUGAAUGCCCAGUGUCUCAGAAAGUGAACAUAACGGACGGGUUCAGCUGCCUUUUCCUCCCGUACUGAUAUUGGCUUUCUAAUCUGAGAGAUCUCAUUAUCUGAUGAUGGGACUGAAGUAGGGAGGUUUUUUUAAUCUGCCUGCACGGUGCUUCUUUUUCUAAGCCUAAUUCCACUUUACAAACCAAAUCCAAAAGUAAAAAAUAUUAUCUCCUGGUAAGAACAGUUGCUUUUUAAAAUGACAGCCAGGUAGGAUUUGCACAAACCAGCGGGAUUUUGUUUCCAUUGGAAGUGCUUUAGUUUCUGAUCUGAAGAAAAUGAAGCAACUAAUAAGAUUCAGGAGCAUCCUUUAUUAAGAGAAUUUUCCUAAUGAUCCAGUGAGGCUACAAAUAAAGUUUUACAGGCGGUAUCUUUCCUUGCAACAUUUCACAAGCAGAUGAAGCACGUGUCAGUUUCAAGGAGUGCCACUCCCUGAGUAUCACUGACUGCAAAGCAUCUCUAAAACAGAGAGGUCAAAAUACAUCAUUAGCAACUUCCAGGAAAGUCAGCCCUGAAAGACUCCUCCUGUGUGACAGCAGAGCAUCGUCUGGCUGACCUUCCAUUCAUGCACUGGAACCGUGUCCCAUUUUUGCCAGCUGGGGUGAUGGCAGAGAGCCCAUGAUAACAAAUUUUGACAGUGUCAGGCUUCCACACUAGUUGCACAUACAUCAGAUUUGCUGGUCCCACAGUACAGUGAAGUGAGCUGUUAGAACAAAAAAUGAGAAAGGCUCAAAGUGUUCCUGAAUAUUCUGACAGGUUCUGCACAACUUGGGAAGAUUAUGGAUAAUUUUGAUUCCGAACUAUCAAAUAAUUGGGCAUUAUAAACACAGUCAAGCAAAUUUGCUGACAAAUAUAAGGUAAAAGCAUCUUCCAUUUGGGAUUAAGUGAUUUUGUCUUCAAAAAGAAGUUAUGGUCCUAGUAAAUGAUUGCUCCCUGAAGCCUUCUCUUGGGCUUGUAGAUGGCAGGAGGUGCUCAUGGUGCCAGAAAAGAAACAGACUCUGAACAGGCCAAAUGACCAAACAUUCCUAAGAGCCUCAGGACCUGAUUCCAAUCCUGCACACCUCAUAGAGAAAUGAGAGACUCAUCCCCAUGGAUACCCUAAAAUGGCUAAAAGCCCUAACAGCAACAUUCAAGGCAGGCAAUACCUCAGCACAGGGCAACACUGCUUUCUAUAAAAGGAGCACAGCAGUAGUUGUGAUGAACUUGUGAUCCAUAGUUCUUAAAAUUUUUAUGACCUAUUGGAAAAUUUCCUCCAGAUUUUAUGGGGUAACAUAUAUGCUGGAAAAUGUCUCAGGGUGUUCCUAAUCUCUGUAUACAAUUACUGUGACUGAUAGGGCAGUGAGGAACAGCAGUGCAUGCUCAGUCUCACACAUGUCCUACUGAAAGCCCUUCUGGAGAGAAGAUUUGUAUCCAAACCACAAUAAUUUAUAGGCCAUAAAGAUCUGAGUCUUCAGUGUAAAAUCAGCCCUGUGUAUGGGUGGGAGCCCCAGCAUGAGACACUUCUGCACUGACAGAAAAAGCAGAGCUGAGAGAGGAACAGACUCCUCCUUCAACAUCCUCCUUUCCCCAUAUUUAGAGACAUGUAAAAUCUGGAAAGGACAUUGCAGUAGGUAUGGCAUUCAUUUUUGAAACUGUGGUAUAACCAGUGGCCACUAACUGUUCAAAACAUCCUUCUUCUGAGCUAAAGAAAACAGCCAAAUAGAAGGAAGAGAAUAUAACUAAUAACUUACUUUUUUCUUGUAUUGAUUCAAACUAAAAAGGGGAAAUGGCAAGGUUGAGCAUCUUGAGAAUAUGAAGAUGGAAAAAAAAAAUCACAGAAACUGAAGAAAUGAACUGUACCAAUCCAAAGAACAAAAUAAACUCAGAAAUUGCAUAAAAGUGUUAAAUUAAUUUUCUUAUUAUAACAUUUAUGAAUAAUGGCAGAUUGACUGAACUGUGUUGCAUCAGAAAAUAUUUAAUCAGGCUACACAGAAGACACUUGAGAGAGUUACCACUGAAAAUUCCCCAUGUUAGGUGAGAAUUAGUAUCUAGCACAAAGUUUAUAAGAGAAAAACCAGAUUUGACUCUUAUAUAAGUAUUAUGUUGGUUGCACAUAACUGUCAAAGAGAUGGUGUUUUAAGCACAGGUAGCAACUGGGACUGGGCUAAUUUGCUCUAAAAUCCCAAGACAAUUGAUUUAAAUAUUUUUUUGCCACUGCACAGGUAUGUAAAUUCAGCGUGGGCCUGUUUGAGAAGUAGAGGGUAUCAAUCUUGCCUACUUAAAAUGAUGUAAUAAAGGAACCAUACUCAGUUCCAUUUUAGUCUGAUCUACUUUGCUAGAUUUGCCUAUCCUGCUAUAAAAAAAAUUGUUUCCUCCUCCUAACAGUGUAAAUACAGUCUAAAAUUGCAUCAAGUAACCAGACUUUGUACAAAGAAAUAAGUGAAGUUGGGAGCAGUGUUAAUAAGGAAUAUCCUUUGCUCUACUUUGCAGAGCUUAUGGUCCAUCUGGUGAACAAACACUGCAGGCUUAUCUGAACUCCAACUCACAGCCUGACUCAUCGGCGGCGCCGAAGCACAUUCUGUAAUCACUGGAAGACUAAGUUAUUUCAGAGUGAAGAUUAGCAUUUUUCUUAAAAACAGUCAAGUCCUUAUCACACCAAAAUUUAGAUUUUGGAUUUGUGUUAUGAGAUGAAGGGGAAAAAGGUGAAUGAACUGAUUUGUCCAAGAAUGGGUAUGUCUAAAAUACUCAGUCUUAGAAUCUGUGAAGAAUACAGAACAAAUAGCAAAUUUGUGUAUAUUCCUGUGAUAGCAAAAAAAAAAA